rnacentral:rRNA from 1 species
CGUGUAGGCGGCUCAUCAAGUCUGGUGUGAAAUCGCAAGGCUUAACCUUGCAUAUGCGCUGGAAACUGGUGGGCUUGAGUUCUUGAGGGGAAGCUGGAAUUCCAGGUGUAGGGGUGAAAUCUGUAGAUAUCUGGAAGAACACCGGUGGCGAAGGCGAGCUUCUAUCAGAGGACUGACGCUGAGGCGCGAAAGCGUGGGGAGCAAACAGGAUUAGAUACCCUGGUAGUCCACGCUGUAAACGAUGUGCACUAGGCGUGGGGCCCGUACGGGUUCUGUGCCGUAGCUAACGUGUUAAGUGCACCGCCUGGGGAGUAUGCUCGCAAGGGUGAA